rnacentral:rRNA from 1 species
UACGUAGGCAGCAAACGUUGUUCGGAAUUACUGGGCGUAAAGAGUGUGUAGGCGGUCUUGUAAGUUCUGUGUGAAAUCUCCCGGCUUAACUGGGAGGGUGCGCCGAAUACUGCAAGGCUUGAGUACUGGAGAGGAUAGCGGAAUUCCUGGUGUAGCGGUGAAAUGCGUAGAUAUCAGGAGGAACACCGGUGGCGAAGGCGGAUCUCUGGGCCGAUACUGACGCUGAGGAGCGAAAGCGUGGGGAGCGAACAGG